rnacentral:lncRNA from 1 species
GUAGGCUCCCUCUCCCCUAUCUUGUCUUUGUCUCCUUCCCUCUUUCCUCCUCCUCUGCUUUUCUCUUUUUUCCCUUUCUUCCCUUCCUCACCCCAUUCCCUAUCCCUCUCCACAUUUCUGUGUCUUCCAGUCUGUUUCCCCCUUUUUCUCGUCUCCUUGCUCCCUCUCUUUCUCUGAGUCUGCCUGCUUUCUCCUCUUUCCCAUCUACCUCCUCUUAUGCUCACCAGGAUUCCUCUCUAGGCUGCCCACCAGGUCCCCUGGAGCAUUCACAAGACUGCUGGAUUGACCACCUGAUCCCCGUGCGCCCAGGCAAGGUGAGGCGCGGCCAUCGUCCUGCCUAGGUCCCUGGCCAAAACACGCAGCACUGCAGCCAGUUGCUUGGGCUCAGAGGACCACUGUGGGCACAAGUGGCCCCUUUGG